AUGCCACCAGUUCUGGAGAGUGAUAUGCAUAGCAGGGAAUAUCUUGUGGAACAUAAACGCAAGGGCGAGGCGUAUUUGAAGGAAAGGGAUGCAAGGAUUGCGGAACGCAAGGCUGCAGAGCGGGAGCAUCUUAAAGGCAUACGAAGCUUAGCUCGUAGCCUUGUAUACCCUAGUGCCUCUAAUGCGCAACCGACGCAAAAUGCACGAGGUGCUGAUGAUCGCAGCGACUCGGAGUAUGAACCAGAUGCUGAAGAGGAGGCCCAUGGAGAGGAAGAGGAUUUGAUAGAUGAAGAGGAGUUCGAUGUUGCUAAGUCUAAAAUGAUGGCACCUGAAGGUUCUACCAUGCCAAAAACGAAAAAGCGUGGCAGAUCCAAAAAUAGUGCAGUGGCUACCUCAAGAAUAACAAGAUGUAGAGCUACCACAACAACUGAGUCAGUUGAAGCUACAAACCAUCAAGAACAGUCUGCACCAAAUCCAACAAACACAUCACCUCACCUAACUUCUAAGGAUAGCAACUCGCUUCAUGCUGAUUCAGGGGUACAAGAUGCGUUAGCAUGCUCCACUGGUCCAACUGAUCCACGGCCAUCAAGGAGAGGUCGUGGACGUAGACCAACCAUGGGGCAUGGGCUUCAGGAGUAUGCAAGCAGAAAUGGAGGGAAGAAAAUGCGUAUUGAUUUUACAGCAGGGAAACUUAACUUUGAGAUGGAAAAGGAUGACAAGGUUGGGAAUGAUGUAUGCACAAAAGUAAUCCAGAAGGGUGUUCGACAACAACACUAUAGGCUAAAGAAGAAAUACUUCAAUGGUUAUACUGCUCAGGAAGCAUUAUCAAAUAAGCCAGCAAACAUUACUCACGAGAAUUGGACCAGCCUUCUCAAUAAAUGGUCCGAUGAAAGAAACAAGCAAUUAUGUCAAAUGAAUAAGGAAAACCAAGAAGCUGUCAAGCAUCACCAAAAGACUGGAUCUAUGUCUUAUGUUGCCUAUUUCAGCAAACUUAAAAAAGACAAGUACAAUAAUCAGGAACCAAGUCCCAUUGAGUUUUUCAAAGAUACCCAUACAAACAGCAAGACUGGUAGCAUGAGCGAGCCAGCACUUCUAGCUCAUAAUGCGAUGGAAAAGAAAAGGAAAACACAAUCAGAAGGUGAGCAACCAGUAUCUGAUACAGCGAUUGUUGCUGAAGUUCUAAAGGAUGAAAGCGCCCAUAGCACCUUCCUUUCCAGCAUGGGGUAUGCAUCAAGAUCUGGGAGGUCUGGGAGCUCUACUUCAUCAGCCCAGAUCCGAAUUUUAGAAGAAAGAAUUGAACAGAAGGAUAGAGAGGCAAGAGAUGCAAAUGAUAGGUGA
rnacentral:rRNA from 1 species